rnacentral:rRNA from 1 species
CWGKGCGGMUGCYUUAMMUGCAGUCGAACGGCAGCGSGGGASCAUCCUGGCGGCGAGUGGCGAACGGGUGAGUAAUACAUCGGAACGUGCCCAAUCGUGGGGGAUAACGCAGCGAAAGCUGUGCUAAUACCGCAUACGAUCUACGGAUGAAAGCAGGGGAUCGCAAGACCUUGCGCGAAUGGAGCGGCCGAUGGCAGAUUAGGUAGUUGGUGAGGUAAAGGCUCACCAAGCCUUCGAUCUGUAGCUGGUCUGAGAGGACGACCAGCCACACUGGGACUGAGACACGGCCCAGACUCCUACGGGAGGCAGCAGUGGGGAAUUUUGGACAAUGGGCGCAAGCYUGAUCCAGCCWUGCCGCGKGCRGGAUGAAGGCCUUCGGGUUGUAAACUGCUUUUGUACGGAACGAAACGGCYUUUUCUAAUAAARGAGGGCUAAUGACGGUACCGWARGAAUAAGCACSGGCUAACUACGUGCCAGCAGCCGCGGUAAUACGUAGGGUGCAAGCGUUAAUCGRAWUUACUGGGCGUAAAGCGUGCGCAGGCGGUAAUGUAAGACAGUUGUGAAAUCCCCGGGCUCAACCUGGGAACUGCAUCUGUGACUGCAUUGCUGGAGUACGGCARAGGGGGAUGGAAUUCCGCGUGUAGCGGUGAAWKKGSKWAAAA